rnacentral:rRNA from 1 species
GGGAUUUGGNCAACCGGGGAANCCUGNUCCAGCGACGCCGCGUGUGUGAAGAAGGCCUGCGGGUUGUAAAGCACUUUUAGUGGGGAUGAACAAGCUCAGGGCUAAUACCUCUGGGUCUUGACCUAACCCACAGAAAAAGCACCGGCUAACUCUGUGCCAGCAGCCGCGGUAAUACAGAGGGUGCAAGCGUUAAUCGGAAUUACUGGGCGUAAAGCGAACGUAGACGGUUGGAUAAGUCGGAUGUGAAAGCCCCGGGCUCAACCUGGGAAUGGCAUUCGAGACUGUUCAGCUAGGGUGCGGAAGAGGGAAGCGGAAUUUCCGGUGUAGCGGUGAAAUGCGUAGAUAUCGGAAGGAACACCAGUGGCGAAAGCGGCUUCCUGGUCCAGCACCGACGUUCAGGUUCGAAAGCAUGGGGGGCAAACAGGAUUAGAUACCCUGGUAGUCCAUGCCAUAAACGAUGAGGACUAGACGUUGAGAGGGUAAGCCUCGCAGUGUCGUAGCUAACGCGCUAAGUCCUCCACCUGGGGAGUACGGCCGCAAGGUUGAAACUCAAAAAAAUUGACGGA